UUGAGGAGGGUGACGGGCGGUGUGUGCGCAUCCUAGAGCUUGUUUCAUCUUUUAUUUCUGUAUUUAAAUUACUGUCGAAUCCUUUUUGAUUUAGUUUUUCAAACUAAAUUCCUCUGUUAGGAAGUAAAGUAGCUCAUCUAUUCCUAACCUAUGGGCUGCACCUUGAUCUGACGUAAGGGGUUUUCCUUUUAGCUCACUUUCUUUGGAGGUGAGCUGACGACGAUGGUAUACAAACUGUUUUUCUAAGGUUAGUGAGGUUUCUUGUGGGUUAUCAAUGCAAUGACAAGCUCCUCCGAAGAGGUCUAGGAAACCGCCAAGUUCUUUAAGUUUUAGCUGUGAGGCUGUACUGCUCUGGUGUUUAGGUUUUACUGAGGGGUAUAGUGGGGUAUCUAAUCCCAGA
rnacentral:rRNA from 1 species